GCUCUGCAGGCCCGACACCGGGCCAACCUGGCCACCCUGUUCGAGACACUCAACACCGUGGUCUGCCCCACAUCCAACAAGAUGCCUGCUAAGUGGAAGAUCUUGGACCACGCCAAAGGAUUUCUGAAAGAGCAGGAAGCCCACCUGAGCAGACUGAUGCUCCUGAAAGGGAUAUUCCUCGGUAAUGAAGACGGGCCCUGCAGCUUGGAGGAAGUGAGGGCAGAGUACCGGAGGCUGCAGUCACACAGCAG